UAUAGUACCAUAACAAUACAAUUGUCUCAAGGCGCUUUAUGUUUAUGCAUUCAGUUGAUGUGUGUUUUAAAAAGCAUCACUUCAAAACUCAGUUUAAAACGAAGUAACAAAAUGCUAACUUAGUAUUACAAAUGCAAUUACAACCCAGGUUAACAUAACUAAGAAAUGGAGGACAUAAGAUGACAACUCCUAACCUCCAUUGUGUUUUGGUAGUUGAAUAUAUGAUUUAGUUUAAAUAAUCUCUUGUGACAUAGCAGUAUAUGUUUCCAGCAACCACCAGUUUAAUCAUAAUUACCACUGCAACUGUAUUAUGGUCCAUUAAUAUGUGCCUGAGGAGUAUUUCAGCAUUUACAAAAACUGCGCUAUCUUUAAAACAAAAAAAACCCAAAUCGCAGCUUCUGAUGACAUAUUACCUGACCUCUCAUGGAACCCUUCAGGCUGAGUGUAGCGCUGUGUUGCCAUGGUGACAAGCUGAGUGUAGCGCUGUGUUGCCAUGGGUACAUGCCAGGAGGACUAGCUAUGGAGAAACAUUUUAUUAGUUCUAUUUUGCAAAGAGUUUGGAAUGCUAAUUUUUUUUUUUUUAGUGUGUGUGUGUGUGAGUGUGGUUGAGCGUGUGCCCGUAUGCAUGGCAUCUGUUUAAAACCUUGUAGACUUGUAGACUUUUGUGUCUUGCCAAAAUAUACCAAGUGCCCAUGCACCCCAUAAACAUGUAAUCAAUCCUUUUGCUUGUCACCGAUAGCAGCCAGCAAUCUCACCUUUCCUCUACUUACAAAUGUGUCAUCGAUUAAUAUGCAUCUCUGCUUGUUAAGAUCUAAAUAGACUGAUUAAAUACGAAUAAGAUAGAUAGACUAGGUUAUCUGUUAGUCAUAUAGAGAUUUGUAAGCCAAAUGUUCACGUGAAAUGAACCUGCUCCAGGGCCAACUCUGAAUGUAGAAUAUGAGACUGCCCCCCCCCCCCCCCGCCCCCGCCACCCUCGAGAGGGGUCUCCUGCGCCUGCUUGUCAUGGGAGAUGUUAUGCGUAGACCAUACAUUUAGAAAUGCUGUAGACGGACCACAAGGACCAUACCGCCAUAUGUACAACCUCACACAUUUGCUAAGGCUACAGUUCAGUUCUAACCCUAACCUAACCCUAGGCUCAGCGCUCAUAGACAUGUCAUCAACCCACAAUUAAUUAGGUCAGUCUGACUAACCCUAACCCUAAUCCUGUCUGACGUUUGAGAAAACCCCAAUUAAAAAUCCAGCAGCAAAUAACCACCAUUUGAUGAAAUUUCUUAUUUUAUGUUAUUUCUUGUAGAAAUAGUUUUAUUAUUUUGCACCAAAUCAUAGUAUUUUAAUACGAUUUGGUGCAAAAAAACUGUUCUGAGUUGACAAUGUAUCCAGCAGCUAAAACCUUGACAUUGACCCAAAACAUAGUGAUGAAUCAGAGGGUCAACUCACAGGCAGAGUUACGGUUACAUACACACACACACACACUAGGAGUAUACAGUACCAGUCAAAAGUUUGGACACACCUUCUCAGUAUUUGAGAAGUUUUUUUCUUUACUUUUAUUAUUUUCUACAUGGUAGAUAACAUUUUUUUUUGUUCAGUACAUCAUUCCAUAUGUGUUAUUUCGUAGUUUAAAUAUAAGGUGUGUCCAAAAAAUAAGGUGUGUCCAAACUUUUGACUGGUACUGUAGAUGCAGGUAUAGUAGAGUAUAGUAUGCCAUGGGUCACUCAUGAAACACACCCUACACACACACACACACACACAACACACACACACACUCACACACACACACACACACUUGUAGUAGUAUUCAGGUUUAGGGGUUAGAUACUGUAGUAUAGUAGAGUAUAGUAUUCAGGUUUAGGGGUUAGGGGUUAGAUACUGUAGUAUAGAAUUCAGGUUUAGGGGUUAGAUACUGUAGUAUAGUAGAGUAUAGUAUUCAGGUUUAGGGGUUAGAUACUGUAGUAUAGUAGAGUAGAGUAUUCAGGUUUAGGGGUUAGAUACUGUAGUAUAGUAGAGUAUAGUAUUCAGGUUUAGGGGUUAGAUACUGUAGUAUAGUAGAGUAUAGUAUUCAGGUUUAGGGGUUAGGGGUUAGAUACUGCAGUAUAGUAGAGUAUAGUAUAGUAUGCAGGUUUAGGGGUUAGAUACUGUAGUAUAGUAGAGUAUAGUAUUCAGGUUUAGGGGUUAGAUACUGUAGUAUAGUAGAGUAUAUAGUAUGCAGGUUUAGGGGUUAGAUACUGUAGUAUAGUAUAUUAUAUAGUAUUCAGGUUUAGGGGUUAGAUACUGUAGUAGAGUAUAGUAUUCAGGUUUAGGGGUUAGAUACUGUAGUAUAGUAUAGAGUAUAGUAAUCAGGUUUAGGGGUUAGAUAUUGUAGUAUAGUAUAGAGUAUAGUAUUCAGGUUUAGGGGUUAGAUAAUGUAGUAUAGUAGAGUAUAGUAUUCAGGUUUAGGGGUUAGAUACUGUAGUAUAGUAGAGUAUAGUAUAGUAUUCAGGUUUAGGGGUUAGAUACUGUAGUAUAGUAGGAGUGUAGUAUGCCAUGGGUCUCUCAUGAAACACACCCUACACACCCUAGACACACACACACACACACCCUACAUACACACACACCCUACACACACACACACUUGUGUGUGAGGCCGCAGUGUUCAACCCUGGCCCUUACUGCUGAACAAGUCUAAUUUAGAUGGGUUAGGGUUAGGGUUAGUAAAUGUGAUGUCAUGUGAUGGGUAAGGGUUACCCUGCUGUCGGACCAAGAGCCUUGUGUACCACGGCGGAGGGAACUAGAGGCACCAAGAGCCUUGUGUCCCACGGCGGAGGGAACUAAAGGUCUACACACACACACACACACACACACACACACACACACACACACACACACGAGGCAUUAGAGGCAUCAUUAGAGGGAGACUCCGUGAAGAGCAUCCCAAUAGUUCUCUAGUUGCAGCAUUCAAGGACAUUAAAUUAUGUUUUUGUCAUCUCUAUAUUACUCUGUUCUGUAGCUACUCAGUAGGGGGAUACUGGGUUCCUGUUUAGAAUGGAAUUCCCUUUCUGAAGUAGACGUGAAAGAUAUAGGAAACUCCUCAAAAUGCUUACAAACAAACCUCUUAAUGCAGGCAAUGGAUUAGAAACAAGAAAUGUAAAGCUCCAUAUGUGUACACAAAUGAUAAAUAUAGUUAUUUAAGCAGCUUUAAAACAUUUUCCCAAGCUUUUGCCUUUUUUCCCUAGCAAGCAUGCUUUACAGUGAGAAAAAGCCAAACCAGCUCUGUGUGGGGAAACGGACAUGUUUAUGUUUACCUGAUCUGUGAUUGGUUUAAAACAGUGGUGAUGUGAUUGUAGGGUGUGUGUAGUGUACUAUAGAGUCUCUAUGGUGGAAUGAGGACUUUAUGAGUGGAAUGAGAUUCUUUUGAAUGAAGAGUGCAUUACAAAUAAAAUACAUUAUUAUUAUUAAUUAUUUAAAGCAAGUCCAGGGAUGUAACUGUGUUACAUAGUGAACAUUGAUGUUGGGGUGAUUUUUGUUUGUGUGUUUUGGUAAAACACCAAGGUGAUGUGAUAUCAGCAGAUGUCUUUGAUUGGUUUGAAGCAUGUACUCCCGCCCUCCCGGUGACAGUGAUCAGCCAAUGAACAGUGGAAGCCAGCCUGUCGCUUCAUCAGCAUGAUGUCACCAUACCUGAUCAUCAUAACCACUCCUUAAUAAGUACGAAGGUGAUUGGCUGAAUAAAGCUAACUCCUUAAUAAGUAUGAAGGUGAUUCGCUGAAUAAAGCUAAUUACUGCAUUAAAACUAUGUCAGUCAUUCUGAAUAAACUGAUUUCGCAGCUUUGGCCAUUG